rnacentral:rRNA from 1 species
CAGCCGCCGCGGUAAUACGGAGGGUGCAAGCGUUAAUCGGAAUUACUGGGCGUAAAGCGCGCGUAGGUGGUUUGUUAAGUUGGAUGUGAAAUCCCCGGGCUCAACCUGGGAACUGCAUCCAAAACUGGCAAGCUAGAGUAUGGUAGAGGGUGGUGGAAUUUCCUGUGUAGCGGUGAAAUGCGUAGAUAUAGGAAGGAACACCAGUGGCGAAGGCGACCACCUGGACUGAUACUGACACUGAGGUGCGAAAGCGUGGGGAGCAAACAGGAUUAGAUACCCGAGUAGUCCCUGUCUCUUAUAC